rnacentral:rRNA from 1 species
UACGGGGGGGGCAAGCGUUGUUCGGAAUUACUGGGCGUAAAGGCUCGUAGGCGGCCAACUAAGUCAGACGUGAAAUCCCUCGGCUUAACCGGGGAACUGCAUCUGAUACUGGAUGGCUUGAGUUCGGGAGAGGGAUGCGGAAUUCCAGGUGUAGCGGUGAAAUGCGUAGAUAUCUGGAGGAACACCGGUGGCGAAGGCGGCAUCCUGGACCGACACUGACGCUGAGGAGCGAAAGCCAGGGGAGCAAACGGG